AUUGAACGCUGGCGGCAUGCUUAACACAUGCGAGUCGAACGGAAACGAUGGAGCUUGCUCCAGGCGUCGAGUGGCGGACGGGUGAGUAACGCAUGGGAAUCUGCCUUUUGCUGGGGGAUAACGUAGGGAAACUUACGCUAAUACCGCAUAAGACCUAAGGGUGAAAGCGGGGGACCGAAAGGCCUCGCGGCAAGAGAUGAGCCCAUGUUGGAUUAGCUAGUUGGUGGGGUAAAGGCCUACCAAGGCGACGAUCCAUAGCUGGUCUGAGAGGAUGAUCAGCCACACUGGGACUGAGACACGGCCCAGACUCCUACGGGAGGCAGCAGUGGGGAAUAUUGGACAAUGGGGGGAACCCUGAUCCAGCAAUGCCGCGUGUGUGAAGAAGGCCUUCGGGUUGUAAAGCACUUUCAGUAGGGAGGAAAGGUGCGUAGUUAAUACCUGCGCAAUUGACGUUACCUACAGAAGAAGCACCGGCUAACUCCGUG
rnacentral:rRNA from 1 species